GACGAACGCUGGCGGCGUGCUUAACACAUGCAAGUCGAACGGAAAGGCCCUGCUUUUGUGGGGUGCUCGAGUGGCGAACGGGUGAGUAACACGUGAGUAAAAUGCCCUUGACUUUGGGGUAACUUCAGGAAACUGGGGCUAAUACCGGAUAGGAGCUACUGCUGCAUGGUGGGGGUUGGAAAGUUUCGGCGGUUGUGGAUGGACUCGCGGCUUAUCAGCCUGUUGGUGGGGUAGUGGCUUACCAAGGCUUUGACGGGUAGCCGGCCUGGGAGGGUGACCGGCCACAUUGGUACUGAGAUACGGCCCAGAAUCCUACGGGAGGCAGCGGUGGGGAAUAUUGCGCAAUGGGCGGAAGCCUGAUGCAGCGACGCCGCGUGCGGAAUGACGGCCUUCGGGUUGUAAACCGCUUUCGCAGGUGACGAAGCGUGAGUGACGGUAAUGGGUAAAGAAGCACCGGCUAACUACGUG
rnacentral:rRNA from 1 species